CUUGCCCUUCCUUGUAGGGACAUUGUGUGCAAUUUCAGCACAAUAGGUCCUAGAAUGAAUCAUUGAGUCAAAUUAACAUGGUGAGACAAGAUUUUUAACCAAAUUUUGAUCACAGUAGAUGCUCAACAACCAACGCAUUUUAUGUUUACUAACCAUACAUUAAUUCAAAAUAUCACAAGCAUUAAUACAUGGCAAAUGCUAGUAGAAGAAAAAGAAAAGAAGAGAUAGAACAAUACAAACGUAUUGUGCAUCAUA
rnacentral:lncRNA from 1 species